GCAGAUGAUGAAUAUGCACUGGGCUCUGAGCAGUUGAUUAUCAGCUGUUAAUUGAUGGACAAUGCAGCCCUAGAAAGCUAUAUCUGAUGU